rnacentral:rRNA from 2 species
GGGCGCAGCCUGAUGGAGCACACCGCGUGAGUGAAGAAGGGUUUCGGCUCGUAAAGCUCUGUUGUUAAAGAAGAACACGUAUGAGAGUAACUGUUCAUACGUUGACGGUAUUUAACCAGAAAGUCACGGCUAACUACGUGCCAGCAGCCGCGGUAAUACGUAGGUGGCAAGCGUUAUCCGGAUUUAUUGGGCGUAAAGAGAGUGCAGGCGGUUUUCUAAGUCUGAUGUGAAAGCCUUCGGCUUAACCGGAGAAGUGCAUCGGAAACUGGAUAACUUGAGUGCAGAAGAGGGUAGUGGAACUCCAUGUGUAGCGGUGGAAUGCGUAGAUAUAUGGAAGAACACCAGUGGCGAAGGCGGCUACCUGGUCUGCAACUGACGCUGAGACUCGAAAGCAUGGGUAGCGAACAGGAUUAGAUACCCUGGUAGUCCAUGCCGUAAACGAUGAGUGCUAGGUGUUGGAGGGUUUCCGCCCUUCAGUGCCGGAGCUAACGCAUUAAGCACUCCGCCUGGGGAGUACGACCGCAAGGUUGAAACUCA